CGGAUGAGGAAGCAGCGGCACGAGCGGCAGGAUAUGAGAAUGGAUAAUUCGUCAGAUGAAUUCCCACCAAGUGUUUUUGCGGCAAGAUCAGAAAAAUUGGAGUGGCUAAAGAAACGUCUUCAACAGAAGUACGGGGUCACCAAUAAAUCUGAACCGUGUUUUCCAGAAAACCCCACUCGUUCCACAUUAGAUAACAGUGUUGAGAGCAUUGAAAAUGAAGAGUCGGACAGUAGUAGAGUUGGAAAUAACCAAUGGUGCACGUGUACUAACUGUAAACCGAUGCC